CGGGGUCGGGUGGGAAGCCGGUGAGGAAGCGCGCUCCUGACACUUUGUUAGCAGGAGGCCAGAACCGCCAGAUCCGGGAGGUGGGACCUCUUUCUGGACUGUCGUAUGUAGUUUUAUUCCUGGCCAUUUUUUCCACCGCCAAAUCGUGAUCAGGGCUUUGGAUCUUUGAGAGAUGGCGUCGUGUAAGGGAAAGAGCCCUCUUUGCCUAAGUUUUACAGACUUCCUGAGCCUGCGUUUACAGUUGUGUGAUACGGAGUUUGAUUAGGUGAUGGCUGAGAUUACCACAACUUUGAAGUUUCCAAAGGGGAGAAGACAGGAGAAGGAAGCAGGACCUGUGCCACAGUUUGCAGACGAUUCACGGAAUGACCCUGAUUUAGUUCUUCCAGCCCUCACCGACUCAGCUUUUAUCUGUGGACUUGCAUAAGAAAGAAAUAGGGCAGAUACUGCCAGGAAGACCAGAAUUCAAAAACAGAGCUUAUGGCUUGUGCCCUGCUUCCCACCAGGAAGUUUGCCCAACACAGGCAACUACAAUCAAGAAGAAAAACAUACUCUGUUUAAGCAGAGUGGACCAGGCAAUAUUGAUAACCACUCCACUCCUGCAUCUUUCUUGAUGACAGUGGACUGAAAAGGAAAUACAGAAUUUCUUAAGAGUUACCAGAAAGCAAAGUGACCAGCAGCCAACUAAGAUUGCAAGAGAAUUGUAUUGACAGAAACACCAACUACUGGGGCGCCUGGGUGGCUCAGUCGUUAAGCAUCUGCC